CUUUCUGGGAGCUUCCUGUCUUCUGCCAGUUCUAAGCUGUCUGCUUUUGCUAGGACAUUAGGGUCCUGUUUCUAGAAACUGGAUAAGAGGAAUCUAUAAGGAAAAUCUUUGAGGCAAACUCUGGCAAGAGAUCUCAGUCUUCAGGAGGGAAGCUACUUGUGGCCUUCACAACAUUAAAGGGAUCUUCAGAUUACUAAGUACACCAACUGUUUGUCUGAAUUUAGCUCAUGAUCAAGUGUUUGUUAUGUCAACACAGAACAGACAUAUGUGCAUUUGAUAAAAAUAAAAACCAUUUUAAGAUAAUACUGAUUAUAUCAUACCCUUCAAGGAAGCUUGUCUAUGUGCAUGUCUGUGUACCACAUGUGUAUGGGUGCCCACGAAAGCUAGAAGUCCUAUCCCCUCAAGCAGAAGUUACAGCUAGUUGUGGGUGCUAGGAACUGGACCUGGGUUCUCUGCAAAAGCAGCAAGUGCUCUUAGCUACUGGGACAUUUCUCUAUCUACCAAUAUAUUUAUAUUUAAAAGUAACAUAAUAUGAUAGGGGAGAUUUAUUUUUUUAAAUUUCAGGUGAAAUUUAUUUAAAAACUCGUAGAUACCAAUGUGAGCCAUCUGAUGCUUCAGAAUGGGUCAUUGCGUGGGCCAAGGACCCAUUUUCUCAAUGAUAAAGGAUGCUAGGAGGACAUAGUCCAUUAUUACGGACUCUUCCAUUGAUGAAACUUUGAAGACAACUCACAUUCAAGUAUUUUUAUGAUUCCUCUGGUCAGUCUGAACUGGAAGGCCGUGUCAUGCUCUGAAUCCCACUGGUCCACGAGCUGUUUUUGAGGCUCGCCCUUUCCCCGGUGGGCUCUAGUUUGAAAAGGCUUCAGAGCUUUAGAAAGUGGAGCUUGACUAGAAGACGUGCACCCCUGGUGAGGGUUCCCAGUGUGUCAUCCUUGCUUACUUCCUGUCUGUCCCUGGUUUUGGUCUGCUCUGGCAAGCAUAAGUUAUCCUCUGCGCAUGCCUGGUUCUGGUUUGCUCCGCUGAGCGUAAGUUAUCCUCUGCGCAUGCUUCUUCCGCGACGGUGCCCUGUUUGAAUAGGUGGGAACAAGAGCUGGAAUACUCCGAGUCAUUAACGUAAAACCAAUCUUUCCUGCCUUCAUUUCUGUCAGCUGCUGUGAUCACGGUGUCCCUAAACAAUGCCUAAGUGCCCCCGCUCUGGC